UACGUAGGGGGCAAGCGUUGUCCGGAUUCAUUGGGCGUAAAGAGCUCGUAGGCGGCUUGGCAAGUCGGGUGUGAAAACUUCAGGCUCAACCUGGGGCGGCCACUCGAUACUGCCAUGGCUAGAGUCCGGUAGGGGACCACGGAAUUCCUGGUGUAGCGGUGAAAUGCGCAGAUAUCAGGAGGAACACCGGUGGCGAAGGCGGUGGUCUGGGCCGGAACUGACGCUGAGGAGCGAAAGCGUGGGGAGCGAACAGG
rnacentral:rRNA from 1 species